GACGAUGAUUCUACGGCGGGGGCAAAGAGCAAUGGAGAGUCAAAAAAAGUGCAACAGCCCUUCCCUUUGCCUGUUGAACCCACUGACAGGAAUGUGUUCUCCAUGUGCUGUUGUGAGAGAAGCUUUUCUCACCAGGGUUCACGGCCGUCCCGUCCCCCACCCUU